rnacentral:rRNA from 1 species
UACGAAGGGGGCUAGCGUUGCUCGGAAUCACUGGGCGUAAAGCGCACGCAGGUGGCUGAGUCAGUCGAUUGUGAAAGCCCUGGGCUUAACCUGGGAAUUGCAGUCGAUACUACUCAGCUAGAGUAUGGGAGAGGGCAGGUGGAAUUCCCGGUGUAGCGGUGAAAUGCGUAGAUAUAGGAAGGAACACCAGUGGCGAAGGCGACCACCUGGACUGAUACUGACACUGAGGUGCGAAAGCGUGGGGAGCAAACAGG